rnacentral:sRNA from 1 species
AGCUGCCGCGUGUACCUUUCCUCCCGGUGCCGCCAGCUGUUCCCCUCUGGAGGUUCACACCUUCACAUCUCAUGGGCCGCAACUACCCAGCGGCCCAUUUUU